AACGAACGCUGGCGGCAGGCCUAACACAUGCAAGUCGAGCGCUCACUUCGGUGGGAGCGGCGGACGGGUUAGUAACGCGUGGGAAUAUGCCCAAAGGUACGGAACAACAGUUGGAAACGACUGCUAAUACCGUAUGUGCCCUACGGGGGAAAGAUUUAUCGCCUUUGGAUUAGCCCGCGUUGGAUUAGGUAGUUGGUGAGGUAACGGCUCACCAAGCCUACGAUCCAUAGCUGGUUUGAGAGGAUGAUCGGCAACACUGGGACUGAGACACGGCCCAG
rnacentral:rRNA from 1 species